rnacentral:rRNA from 1 species
UACGAAGGGGGCUAGCGUUGCUCGGAAUCACUGGCGUAAAGGGUGCGUAGGCGGGUUUUUAAGUCAGGGGUGAAAUCCUGGAGCUCAACUCCAGAACUGCCUUUGAUACUGAAGAUCUUGAGUUCGGGAGAGGUGAGUGGAACUGCGAGUGUAGAGGUGAAAUUCGUAGAUAUUCGCAAGAACACCAGUGGCGAAGGCGGCUCACUGGCCCGAUACUGACGCUGAGGCACGAAAGCGUGGGGGAGCAAACAGG